UGGGGAAUAUUGCACAAUGGGCGAAAGCCUGAUGCAGCGACGCCGCGUGAGGGAUGACGGCCUUCGGGUUGUAAACCUCUUUCAGCAGGGACGAAGCGCAAGUGACGGUACCUGCAGAAGAAGCACCGGCUAACUACGUGCCAGCAGCCGCGGUAAUACGUAGGGUGCAAGCGUUGUCCGGAAUUACUGGGCGUAAAGAGUUCGUAGGCGGUUUGUCGCGUCGUUUGUGAAAACCAGCAGCUCAACUGCUGGCUUGCAGGCGAUACGGGCAGACUUGAGUACUGCAGGGGAGACUGGAAUUCCUGGUGUAGCGGUGAAAUGCGCAGAUAUCAGGAGGAACACCGGUGGCGAAGGCGGGUCUCUGGGCAGUAACUGACGCUGAGGAACGAAAGCGUGGGUAGCGAACAGGAUUAGAUACCCUGGUAGUCCACGCCGUAAACGGUGGGCGCUAGGUGUGGGUUCCUUCCACGGAAUCCGUGCCGUAGCUAACGCAUUAAGCGCCCCGCCUGGGGAGUACGGCCGCAAGGCUAAAACUUAAAGGAAUUGAC
rnacentral:rRNA from 1 species